rnacentral:rRNA from 1 species
UACGAAGGGGGCUAGCGUUGCUCGGAAUCACUGGGCGUAAAGCGCACGUAGGCGGCUUCUUAAGUCAGGGGUGAAAUCCUGGAGCUCAACUCCGAAACUGCAUUCGAUACUGCCGUGCUUGAGGACUGGAGAGGAGACUGGAAUUUACGGUGUAGCGGUGAAAUGCGUAGAUAUCGUAAGGAAGACCAGUGGCGAAGGCGGGUCUCUGGACAGUUCCUGACGCUGAGGCACGAAGGUCAGGGGAGCAAACGGG